UACGUAGGGGGGCAAGCGUUGUCCGGAAUCACUGGGCGUAAAGCGCACGCAGGCGGUCUGCUAAGUUUGGAGUGACAGUUGGUGGCUUAACUGCCAAAGUGCUUCGAAAACUGACAGACUUGAGGGCUUCAGAGGGACACGGAAUUCCGGGUGGAGUGGUGAAAUGCGUAGAGAUCCGGAGGAACACCAAAGGCGAAGGCAGUGUCCUGGGGAGUACCUGACGCUCAGGUGCGAAAGCCAGGGGGAGCGAACGGG
rnacentral:rRNA from 1 species